CCUACGGGCGGCAGCAGUGGGGAAUAUUGGACAAUGGGCGAAAGCCUGAUCCAGCCAUGCCGCGUGUGUGAAGAAGGCCUUCGGGUUGUAAAGCACUUUCAGUGGGGAAGAAAGCCUUGGGGCUAAUACCCUCGAGGAAGGACAUCACCCACAGAAGAAGCACCGGCUAACUCCGUGCCAGCAGCCGCGGUAAUACGGAGGGUGCGAGCGUUAAUCGGAAUUACUGGGCGUAAAGCGCGCGUAGGCGGUCUGAUAAGCCGGUUGUGAAAGCCCCGGGCUCAACCUGGGAACGGCAUCCGGAACUGUCAGGCUAGAGUGCAGGAGAGGAAGGUAGAAUUCCCGGUGUAGCGGUGAAAUGCGUAGAGAUCGGGAGGAAUACCAGUGGCGAAGGCGGCCUUCUGGACUGGCACUGACGCUGAGGUGCGAAAGCGUGGGUAGCAAACAGGAUUAGAUACCCGGGUAGUC
rnacentral:rRNA from 1 species